rnacentral:rRNA from 1 species
AGAGUUUGGAUCCUGGCUCAGAACGAACGCUGGCGGCAUGCCUAACACAUGCAAGUCGAACGAAGGCUUCGGCCUUAGUGGCGCACGGGUGCGUAACGCGUGGGAAUCUGCCCUUGGGUUCGGAAUAACAGUGAGAAAUUACUGCUAAUACCGGAUGAUGACUUCGGUCCAAAGAUUUAUCGCCCAAGGAUGAGCCCGCGUAAGAUUAGCUAGUUGGUGAGGUAAAGGCUCACCAAGGCGACGAUCUUUAGCUGGUCUGAGAGGAUGAUCAGCCACACUGGGACUGAGACACGGCCCAGACUCCUACGGGAGGCAGCAGUGGGGAAUAUUGGACAAUGGGCGAAAGCCUGAUCCAGCAAUGCCGCGUGAGUGAUGAAGGCCUUAGGGUUGUAAAGCUCUUUUACCAGGGAUGAUAAUGACAGUACCUGGAGAAUAAGCUCCGGCUAACUCCGUGCCAGCAGCCGCGGUAAUACGGAGGGAGCUAGCGUUGUUCGGAAUUACUGGGCGUAAAGCGCACGUAGGCGGCCAUUCAAGUCAGAGGUGAAAGCCCGGGGCUCAACCCCGGAACUGCCUUUGAAACUAGAUGGCUUGAAUCUUGGAGAGGCGAGUGGAAUUCCGAGUGUAGAGGUGAAAUUCGUAGAUAUUAGAAAGAAUACCAAUUGCGAAGGCAGCUUUCUGGAUCAUUACUGACACUGAGGAACGAAAGCAUGGGUAGCGAAGAGGAUUAGAUACCCUCGUAGUCCAUGCCGUAAACGAUGUGUGUUAGACGUUGGAAAUUUAUUUUCUGUGUCGCAGCGAAAGCAAUAAACACACCGCCUGGGGAGUACGACCGCAAGGUUAAAACUCAAAUGAAUUGACGGGGACCCGCACAAGUAGUGGAGCAUGUGGUUUAAUUCGAAGAUACGCGCAGAACCUUACCAACACUUGACAUGUUCGUCGCGACUUUAAGAGAUUAAAGUUUUCGGUUCGGCCGGACGAAACACAGGUGCUGCAUGGCUGUCGUCAGCUCGUGUCGUGAGAUGUUGGGUUAAGUCCCGCAACGAGCGCAACCCUCACUUUUAGUUGCCAUCAUUUAGUUGGGCACUCUGAAAGAACUGCCAGUGAUAAGCUGGAGGAAGGUGGGGAUGACGUCAAGUCCUCAUGGCCCUUACGUGUUGGGCUACACACGUGCUACAAUGGCAUUUACAAUAGGAAGCAAGACGGCGACGUUAAGCAAAUCCUAAAAAAAUGCCUCAGUUCGGAUUGUACUCUGCAACUCGAGUACAUGAAGCUGGAAUUACUAGUAAUCGCGGAUCAGCGCGCCGCGGUGAAUACGUUCCCGGGUCUUGUACACACCGCCCGUCACACCAUGGGAGUUGGUUCUACCUUAAGGCAAAGUUUAAUACCUUUGACCACGGUAUAGUCAGCGACUGGGGUGAAGUCGUAACAAGGUAGCCGUA